CAGCAGCACCAGCAGCUCUCAAUAAUAAUAACAACGAAAAAGGUAGGAAUUGAGAACAGAUUACCAUGGAACCUGGUAUUCUGGGGAUUUGUUACUGAAGAAGUGAGGACAGAAGUGAAGAGACAAACUUCCAGCCCUGGAACCAAUUAGUGCAGGAGUAGCCCCUUCACAAGUCCACCAGACACAUUUUGGGCAUGGAGACAGAGGCAGGUGCUACUCUGGAGAAGUAAUCAACAGCACCUCUGUUCUAAGCAAAAUAAAGAUGACAGCCAAGGUGUUGAAGGACCAGUGGCUGUUCAUGGUCAUCUUUCAGCCCUCAUGAAGAAAGUCAACACACACUCAAUUCUCACCGCCUGGUGGUCAUUUUAUUCUGCAAGCUCUGAAAGAAAAAAACACACAAAUAUACAGGUUAGUCAGCAUGUCUGUGUAUGGUUUACAGCUACACUAACAGCCUGGUCUCUCAAAGCUGGCCGUCUGUCAUAACACGUCACCAUGCCAAUCCACCUCUGUCACCCAUGCAGGCCUAACAAUGGCUUGUUGGCAGUGACAAACACUCCCUCUUGCCAAAAUGGAGGAAACAAACCACACACACACACACA